AUUGAACGCUGGCGGCAGGCUUAACACAUGCAAGUCGAACGAGUGGCGGACGGGUGAGUAAUGGUUGGGAAUCUAGCUUAUGGAGGGGGAUAACUGCGGGAAACUGUAGCUAAUACCGCGUACCGUAGGAUGAGCCCAAGUGGGAUUAGGUAGUUGGUGAGGUAAAGGCUCACCAGGCCGACGAUCUCUAGCUGGUCUGCGAGGAUGACCAGCCACACUGGGACGGAGACACGGCCCAGACUCCUACGGGAGGCAGCAGUGGGGAAUAUUGGGCAAUGGGGGAAACCUUACGCAGCCAUGCCGCGUGAAUGAAGAAGGCCUUCGGGUGGUAAAGGUCUUUCGGUAGCGAGGCGUUAACUACAGAAGAAGCACCGGCUAACUCCGUGCCAGCCGCCGCGGUAAUUC
rnacentral:rRNA from 1 species